rnacentral:lncRNA from 1 species
AUUUUGUCAAAGUCACUUUUACUAUAUGAUUCCUGCCCUCUCUGACACUUUCUGCAGCCUGUUUCUCCUCCCUCUCUUCCUCCUCCUUCCCGCACAGCCUGGGAAGUAAUCCUAUAUAUAUUAGUUGUUCACCCUGCUCUCUGACAUUGUGUCACACAAAGAAAAAUGCCUGAAGAAGUUCCUGCUCAGUGCAAGGCUCCCAAAGAUGAGCUGGACAAAUGUGUUCAGGGGAAGGGUGCAGAGGGCUGUAAGGAGCUGCUGGAAUCUUUUGAGGCCUGUGUGAAGGGGGCCACGACAACCUCGUGAGGGGACAUGCAUUUACAUGGCCAUCCUUUCUGGGUCCUCCAGUGUCCUUGCAUUCCCUCACAUUGCACUGGACUAAACCAUUCUAAGGACAGUGAAAGGGGUGCA